rnacentral:rRNA from 1 species
UUUAUGGAGAGUUUGAUCCUGGCUCAGAGUGAACGCUGGCGGCGUGCCUAAUACAUGCAAGUCGAACGAUGAAGCUUUCUAGCUUGCUAGAAGGUUGAUUAGUGGCGCACGGGUGAGUAACGCAUAGGUUAUGUGCCUCUUAGUUUGGGAUAGCCAUUGGAAACGAUGAUUAAUACCAGAUACUCCCUACGGGGGAAAGAUUUAUCGCUAAGAGAUCAGCCUAUGUCCUAUCAGCUUGUUGGUAAGGUAAUGGCUUACCAAGGCUAUGACGGGUAUCCGGCCUGAGAGGGUGAACGGACACACUGGAACUGAGACACGGUCCAGACUCCUACGGGAGGCAGCAGUAGGGAAUAUUGCUCAAUGGGGGAAACCCUGAAGCAGCAACGCCGCGUGGAGGAUGAAGGUUUUAGGAUUGUAAACUCCUUUUGUUAGAGAAGAUAAUGACGGUAUCUAACGAAUAAGCACCGGCUAACUCCGUGCCAGCAGCCGCGGUAAUACGGAGGGUGCAAGCGUUACUCGGAAUCACUGGGCGUAAAGAGCGCGUAGGCGGGAUAGUCAGUCAGGUGUGAAAUCCUAUGGCUUAACCAUAGAACUGCAUUUGAAACUACUAUUCUAGAGUGUGGGAGAGGUAGGUGGAAUUCUUGGUGUAGGGGUAAAAUCCGUAGAGAUCAAGAGGAAUACUCAUUGCGAAGGCGACCUGCUGGAACAUUACUGACGCUGAUUGCGCGAAAGCGUGGGGAGCAAACAGGAUUAGAUACCCUGGUAGUCCACGCCCUAAACGAUGGAUGCUAGUUGUUGGAGGGCUUAGUCUCUCCAGUAAUGCAGCUAACGCAUUAAGCAUCCCGCCUGGGGAGUACGGUCGCAAGAUUAAAACUCAAAGGAAUAGACGGGGAUCCGCACAAGCGGUGGAGCAUGUGGUUUAAUUCGAAGAUACACGAAGAACCUUACCUAGGCUUGACAUUGAGAGAAUCCGCUAGAAAUAGUGGAGUGUCUGGCUUGCCAGACCUUGAAAACAGGUGCUGCACGGCUGUCGUCAGCUCGUGUCGUGAGAUGUUGGGUUAAGUCCCGCAACGAGCGCAACCCCCUUUCUUAAUUGCUAACAGGUCAUGCUGAGAACUCUAAGGAUACUGCCUCCGUAAGGAGGAGGAAGGUGGGGACGACGUCAAGUCAUCAUGGCCCUUACGCCUAGGGCUACACACGUGCUACAAUGGGGUGCACAAAGAGAAGCAAUACUGCGAAGUGGAGCCAAUCUUCAAAACACCUCUCAGUUCGGAUUGUAGGCUGCAACUCGCCUGCAUGAAGCUGGAAUCGCUAGUAAUCGCAAAUCAGCCAUGUUGCGGUGAAUACGUUCCCGGGUCUUGUACUCACCGCCCGUCACACCAUGGGAGUUGUGUUUGCCUUAAGUCAGGAUGCUAAAUUGGCUACUGCCCACGGCACACACAGCGACUGGGGUGAAGUCGUAACAAGGUAACCGUAGGUGAACCUGCGGUUGGAUCACCUCCUUU